rnacentral:rRNA from 1 species
UACGGAGGGUGCAAGCGUUGUCCGGAUUUAUUGGGUUUAAAGGGUGCGUAGGCGGCCUAUUAAGUCAGUGGUGAAAGCCAACAGCUCAACUGUUGAACUGCCAUUGAUACUGAAAGGCUUGAGUACAGACGAGGUAGGCGGAAUUGAAGAUGUAGCGGUGAAAUGCAUAGAUAUCUUCAAGAACACCGAUUGCGUAGGCAGCUUACUAGGCUGUAACUGACGCUGAGGCACGAAAGCGUGGGGAGCGAACAGGAUUAGAAACCCCCGUAGUCC